UUAAAGUUAAUCUUGGUAAUAGAUAAAUGUAUCUGAGACAUUAACUCACAGCAGGGGCUGGGCUUUAAG
rnacentral:tRNA from 1 species